rnacentral:rRNA from 1 species
NAUGCUUGCCGUACCAAAGCAUCCGCCCGAGAACUACGAGCACAAACGCUUAAAACUCUAAGGACUUGGCGGUGCCCCAAACCCAUCUAGAGGAGCCUGUUCUAUAAUCGAUAACCCACGAUUCACCCGACCACCUCUCGCCAAAGCAGCCUACAUACCGCCGUCGCCAGCUCACCUUCCCUGAAAGCCCAAUAGUGAGCACAAUAGCCUAACCUGCUAGUAAGACAGGUCAAGGUAUAGCCCAUGAGGUGGAAGAAAUGGGCUACAUUUUCUACGAUAGAAAACCCACGAAAGGGGGUAUGAAACAGCCCCCGGAAGGCGGAUUUAGCAGUAAAGCGGGACAAUAAAGCCCUCUUUAAGUUGGCCCUGGGG